rnacentral:other from 1 species
GUUACAGACGAACCCGUGUGGGGUUGAAGC